AUCUGGUUGAUCCUGCCUGAACUGAUGUGUUCAUUUCAAAGAUUAAGCCAUGCAUGUAUAAGUUUAAUCGUUUUAACGAGAAACCGCGAACGGCUCAUUACAAUGGCCAUGAUUUACUUGAUCUUGAUUAUCUAAAUGGAUAACUGUGGAAAAGCUAGAGCUAAUACAUGCACCAGAGCUUUGUCCUCUCGGAAAAGCGCAUUUAUUAGAACAAAACCACGCGGCUUCGGCUGCUUCUUGUUGACUCAGAAUAACUAAGCUGACCGCAUGGCCUUGUGCCGGCGGCGUGUCUUUCAAGCGUCCACUUUAUCAACUUGACGGGAGCAUAAUCGACUCCCGUGGUGGUGACGGAUAACGGAGGAUCAGGGUUCGACUCCGGAGAAGGGGCCUGAGAAAUGGCCACUACGUCUAAGGAUGGCAGCAGGCGCGCAAAUUACCCACUCUCGGCUCGAGGAGGUAGUGACGAGAAAUAACGAGACUGUUCUCUUUGAGGCCGGUCAUCGGAAUGGGUACAAUUUAAACCCUUUAACGAGUAUCAAGCAGAGGGCAAGUCUGGUGCCAGCAGCCGCGGUAAUUCCAGCUCUGCUAAUACAUAGAAUUAUUGCUGCGGUUAAAAAGCUCGUAGUUGGAUUCGUAUCGGUACCUUGGAACCCUUCGGGUGUUUCUGGGUGUUAUCGAUUUAUCGUAAUGUUCGGUUUUGAGUCCUUAACAGGAUUUUUAACAGUCAUUGCAAGUUUACUUUGAACAAAUCAGAGUGCUUCAAACAGGCGUUUUCGCUUGAAUGAUCGUGCAUGGAAUAAUAGAAAACGAUUUCGGUUCAGUUUUAUUGGUUUUACGGACUGAGAUAAUGGUUAACAAUAGACAAACGGGGGCAUUUGUAUGGCCCCGUGAGAGGUGAAAUUCUUGGACCGUGGCCAGACAAACUACAGCGAAAGCAUUUGCCAAGAAUGUCUUCAUUAAUCAAGAACGAAAGUCAGAGGUUCGAAGGCGAUCAGAUACCGCCCUAGUUCUGACCGUAAACGAUGCCAACUAGCGAUCCGCUGAUGGAAAUUAUAUUGCCUUGGUGGGGAGCUUCCCGGAAACGAAAGUCUUCCGGUUCCGGGGGAAGUAUGGUUGCAAAGCUGAAACUUAAAGGAAUUGACGGAAGGGCACCACCAGGAGUGGAGCCUGCGGCUUAAUUUGACUCAACACGGGGAAACUCACCCGGCCCGGACACUGUGAGGAUUGACAGAUUGAUAGCUUUUUCAUGAUUCAGUGGAUGGUGGUGCAUGGCCGUUCUUAGUUCGUGGAGUGAUUUGUCUGGUUUAUUCCGAUAACGAGCGAGACUCUAACCUACUAAAUAGUUGGUACAUACUCUUUGUGUAUACAGCUUCUUAGAGGGAUAUUGCCAUAUUGCCACGAGACCGAUAGCAAACAAGUACUGUGAAGGAAAGUUGCAAAGCACUUUGAAGAGAGAGUUAAAGAGGACGUGAAACCGGAGAGGUGGAAACGGAUAGAGUCGGCGUAUCUUUCAAGUAUUCAUUUACAUUAUUUUUAUGUUGUGAUCUCUGAGCUCCAGAUUGGGACAGAAAGAAGCAUCAUAAUUUUCUGUGAUGCAUUUGCUUGUUUGGUGCUUGGGGAUGUUUGAGGCAGAUUUGUAACCGCCGUUUUGAGGCCAGCUUGCUGGUACCCAAACAGCGUUAGCAUCUUUUGUCUUGGACAUUUGAGUAUGGUUUACGGGCAUUUAUUGGUUCGAUCUGAUUGUAAGUUACGGUCGCAUGCGACACGUGCUUUUCAUUUAGAUCGGUCCAGUUAAUGCUCUCGUACUCGCUCCCCAUGUAAAAGCCGGUCAUCUAUCCGACCCGUCUUGAAACACGGACCAAGGAGUUUAUCGUGUGCGCAAGUUUUUGGGUGUUAAAUACCUACAAGCGAAAUGAAAGUAAAUGGCUCUUUAGAGUCUGACGUGCGAUCUUGUAAAAAAGGGCAGCAUGGCCCCAUUCUAACUGUUUACAGUAGGGUGGAGGAAGAGCGUACGCGGUGAGACCCGAAAGAUGGUGAACUAUUCCUGAGCAGGACGAAGCCAGAGGAAACUCUGGUGGAAGUCCGAAGCGGUUCUGACGUGCAAAUCGAUCGUCUGACUUGGGUAUAGGGGCGAAAGACUAAUCGAACCAUCUAGUAGCUGGUUCCCUCUGAAGUUUCCCCCAGGAUAGCUGGAGCUCAUUAGUAGUUAUACUCGGUAAAGCGAAUGAUUAGAGGACUUGGGAACGAAAUGUUCUUAACCUAUUCUCAAACUCUAAAUGGGUAUGAUGUCAAAGUUGCUUGAUUUUGAACUUUGGCGUUGAAUACGAGUUCCAAGUGGGCCAUUUUUGGUAAGCAGAACUGGCGAUGUGGGAUGAACCAAACGCGGAGUUGAGGUGCCAAAGUGCCCGCUCAUUAGACACCAUAAAAGGUGUUGGUUGAUACAGACAGCAGGACGGUGGCCAUGGAAGUCGGAAUCCGCUAAGGAGUGUGUAACAACUCA